GGGGAUGACAGGCCUAGACAGCAGAUGCAUGCUUGUGCGCUGCGAGGCAGAACUGGAGCACUUCUUAAAACUGCUCCAACCUAUAACUGCCAAAUCAGUUGCAUCGCCGUUUUUCGCGGCGAAUGAUUUCGACUUCGCCUACGCUAAGGCGUAAGUCGUCACCCCUCUUCCAACUCCUGUGAGGAAGAGCCGGGUGUUAUACCACCGGGAUGCUGCGGAGUAGCUGCUCACUACCCCGCCUAAGACCAGAGCUCUAACGUGAUGCGCUUUUGUGCGCUUUUGAUGCACCACGUCGAGAACUGAAAGCUCACUACGUCUUGUAGACGCGCACUGCAUCAACUGUUGCACGGGGGUUCGAUUCCCCCCAUCUCCACAA
rnacentral:tmRNA from 1 species